GGGACAGGGACGGUGCCACCGAGGGGACAGGGACGGUGCCACCGAGGGGACAGGGACAGUGACACCGAGGGGACAGGGACGGUGACACCGAGGGGACAGGCGGGACAGGGACGGUGACACCGAGGGGACAGGGACAGUGACACCGAGGGGACAGGGACGGUGCCACCGAGGGGACAGGCUGGGACAGGGACGGUGACACCGAGGGGACAGGGACGGUGCCACCGAGGGGACAGGGACGGGACAGGGACGGGACAGGGACGGUGCCACCGAGGGGACAGGGACGGUGCCACCGGGCCAGCGGGAGCGGGGCGCUGCCGGGCCGGGAUCGGCUGCCCUCGGUCCGGCGGGCGCAGAGCCCGGCCGGGCUGUGCUCACUGAGGGACGCACAAAAUCCCAAAUCCCGGCCCUGAUCCUUCAGCUUCCAAAAAUAUCCUUCGGCGGGGCUGGGCAGGGACCGGGCACGGACCGGGCAGGGGCUGGGCAGGGACCGGGCACAGACCGGGCAGGGGCUGGGCAGGGACCGGGCACAGACCGGGC
rnacentral:lncRNA from 1 species